AUUGAACGCUGGCGGCAUGCCUUACACAUGCAAGUCGAACGGCAGCACGGGAGCAAUCCUGGUGGCGAGUGGCGAACGGGUGAGUAAUAUAUCGGAACGUGCCCAGUAGUGGGGGACAACUGCUCGAAAGAGCAGCUAAUACCGCAUACGACCUGAGGGUGAAAGCGGGGGAUCGCAAGACCUCGCGCGAUUGGAGCGGCCGAUAUCAGAUUAGGUAGUUGGUGAGGUAAAGGCUCACCAAGCCGACGAUCUGUAGCUGGUCUGAGAGGACGACCAGCCACACUGGGACUGAGACACGGCCCAGACUCCUACGGGAGGCAGCAGUGGGGAAUUUUGGACAAUGGGCGCAAGCCUGAUCCAGCCAUGCCGCGUGCGGGAAGAAGGCCUUCGGGUUGUAAACCGCUUUUGUCAGGGAAGAAAAGGUUCUGGCUAAUACCUGGGACUCAUGACGGUACCUGAAGAAUAAGCACCGGCUAACUACGUGCCAGCCGCCGCAGUAAAAC
rnacentral:rRNA from 1 species